rnacentral:rRNA from 1 species
AAAUUGAAGAGUUUGAUCAUGGCUCAGAUUGAACGCUGGCGGCAGGCCUAACACAUGCAAGUCGAACGGUAACAGGAAACAGCUUGCUGUUUCGCUGACGAGUGGCGGACGGGUGAGUAAUGUCUGGGAAACUGCCUGAUGGAGGGGGAUAACUACUGGAAACGGUAGCUAAUACCGCAUAACGUCGCAAGACCAAAGAGGGGGACCUUCGGGCCUCUUGCCAUCGGAUGUGCCCAGAUGGGAUUAGCUAGUAGGUGGGGUAACGGCUCACCUAGGCGACGAUCCCUAGCUGGUCUGAGAGGAUGACCAGCCACACUGGAACUGAGACACGGUCCAGACUCCUACGGGAGGCAGCAGUGGGGAAUAUUGCACAAUGGGCGCAAGCCUGAUGCAGCCAUGCCGCGUGUAUGAAGAAGGCCUUCGGGUUGUAAAGUACUUUCAGCGGGGAGGAAGGGAGUAAAGUUAAUACCUUUGCUCAUUGACGUUACCCGCAGAAGAAGCACCGGCUAACUCCGUGCCAGCAGCCGCGGUAAUACGGAGGGUGCAAGCGUUAAUCGGAAUUACUGGGCGUAAAGCGCACGCAGGCGGUUUGUUAAGUCAGAUGUGAAAUCCCCGGGCUCAACCUGGGAACUGCAUCUGAUACUGGCAAGCUUGAGUCUCGUAGAGGGGGGUAGAAUUCCAGGUGUAGCGGUGAAAUGCGUAGAGAUCUGGAGGAAUACCGGUGGCGAAGGCGGCCCCCUGGACGAAGACUGACGCUCAGGUGCGAAAGCGUGGGGAGCAAACAGGAUUAGAUACCCUGGUAGUCCACGCCGUAAACGAUGUCGACUUGGAGGUUGUGCCCUUGAGGCGUGGCUUCCGGAGCUAACGCGUUAAGUCGACCGCCUGGGGAGUACGGCCGCAAGGUUAAAACUCAAAUGAAUUGACGGGGGCCCGCACAAGCGGUGGAGCAUGUGGUUUAAUUCGAUGCAACGCGAAGAACCUUACCUGGUCUUGACAUCCACGGAAGUUUUCAGAGAUGAGAAUGUGCCUUCGGGAACCGUGAGACAGGUGCUGCAUGGCUGUCGUCAGCUCGUGUUGUGAAAUGUUGGGUUAAGUCCCGCAACGAGCGCAACCCUUAUCCUUUGUUGCCAGCGGUCCGGCCGGGAACUCAAAGGAGACUGCCAGUGAUAAACUGGAGGAAGGUGGGGAUGACGUCAAGUCAUCAUGGCCCUUACGACCAGGGCUACACACGUGCUACAAUGGCGCAUACAAAGAGAAGCGACCUCGCGAGAGCAAGCGGACCUCAUAAAGUGCGUCGUAGUCCGGAUUGGAGUCUGCAACUCGACUCCAUGAAGUCGGAAUCGCUAGUAAUCGUGGAUCAGAAUGCCACGGUGAAUACGUUCCCGGGCCUUGUACACACCGCCCGUCACACCAUGGGAGUGGGUUGCAAAAGAAGUAGGUAGCUUAACCUUCGGGAGGGCGUUUACCACUUUGUGAUUCAUGACUGGGGUGAAGUCGUAACAAGGUAACCGUAGGGGAACCUGCGGUUGGAUCACCUCCUUA